rnacentral:rRNA from 1 species
AUGAACGCUGGCGGCAGGCCUAACACAUGCAAGUCGAACGGUAACAUUUCUAGCUUGCUAGAAGAUGACGAGUGGCGGACGGGUGAGUAAUGCUUGGGAACUUGCCUUUGCGAGGGGGAUAACAGUUGGAAACGACUGCUAACACCGCAUAAUGUCUACGGACCAAACGGGGCUUAGGCUCCGGCGCAAAGAGAGGCCCAAGUGAGAUUAGCUAGUUGGUAAGGUAAAGGCUUACCAAGGCGACGAUCUCUAGCUGUUCUGAGAGGAAGAUCAGCCACACUGGGACUGAGACACGGCCCAGACUCCUACGGGAGGCAGCAGUGGGGAAUAUUGCACAAUGGGGGAAACCCUGAUGCAGCCAUGCCGCGUGUGUGAAGAAGGCCUUCGGGUUGUAAAGCACUUUCAGUUGUGAGGAAAAGUUAGUAGUUAAUACCUGCUAGCCGUGACGUUAACAACAGAAGAAGCACCGGCUAACUCCGUGCCAGCAGCCGCGGUAAUACGGAGGGUGCGAGCGUUAAUCGGAAUUACUGGGCGUAAAGCGCACGCAGGCGGUUUGUUAAGCUAAAUGUGAAAGCCCCGGGCUCA